UCGAAAACGCAUUAAAAUUGA
rnacentral:piRNA from 1 species